CAGUGGCGAACGGGUGAGUAACACGUGAGCAACCUGCCCUGGACUCUGGGAUAAGCGCUGGAAACGGCGUCUAAUACUGGAUAUGAGCCCCUAUCGCAUGGUGGGGGUUGGAAAGAUUUUUUGGUCUGGGAUGGGCUCGCGGCCUAUCAGCUUGUUGGUGAGGUAAGGGCUCACCAAGGCGUCAACGGGUAGCCGGCCUGAAAGGGUGACCGGCCACACUGGGACUGAAACACGGCCCAAACUCCUACGGGAGGCAGCAGGGGGGAAUAUUGCACAAUGGGCGAAAGCCUGAUGCACCAACGCCGCGUGAGGGAUGACGGCCUUCGGGUUGUAAACCUCUUUUACCAGGGAAAAAGCGAAAGUGACGGUACCUGCAAAAAAAGCGCCGGCUAACUACGUGCCACCAGCCGCGGUAAUACGUAGGGCGCAAGCGUUAUCCGGAAUUAUUGGGCGUAAAAAGCUCGUAGGCGGUUUGUCGCGUCUGCUGUGAAAUCCCAAGGCUCAACCUCGGGCCUGCAGGGGGUACGGGCAAACUAAAGUGCGGUAGGGGAGAUUGGAAUUCCUGGUGUACCGGUGGAAUGCGCAAAUAUCAGGAGGAACACCGAUGGCGAAGGCAAAU
rnacentral:rRNA from 1 species